rnacentral:tRNA from 1 species
GACACUUUGGCCGAGUGGUUAAGGCGCAGGCCUGCUAAAUCUAUAACAGGGUUCGAAUCCCAGAGGUGUCG